AGAAGGUUUCUCAACUUUGAAGUCCCGAAUGGUCGAACAGUCUUGAGGAACGAGUCAGUCAGCAGUGGCUCUGGUUUAGGAGCUGAAGAUGUCUCACCGGCCUUAGCCUUUGAAGAUUUGCUCGUCAUUUUGAAAGUAUGAAGAUAAGAAGGUUUAAAAUGAAGAUUUGAAGAUUGAACAGGAAAUUAAGAAGAAGAUAUGAAGAUAUGGAGGUUUGAAGGUUUGAAGAUAUGAAGAUCAAAGUAUUCAGAGCACACGAAGGUAAAAAUUCCCUUUGGUAAAAGUUGAAAAGCGAUAAAGGAAGAGCGAUUGACUGCCAUUAGCGGGAGACCGAAAUAUUCGCCCUCACCCGGAUAUUUCGGCGUCGAUCUCGGCAAUACAGCUGUCACCAGAUUUACUUGCUUUAUUUAGAAUUGUACUAGGGUUGAAACUCCUCUACUAUAUAAAGAAGAGGUUAUCAUUCAUGAAGAGGGUUGGCAACAGCAAGGAGAGAAAUAGUUUACAUCAACAAUCAUAAGAAUCUUACUAAAUCAGUUCCCGUCUGUUCUUAAGUUCAUUUUUUAUUAUA